rnacentral:rRNA from 1 species
CUCCAGGUUGAUUCUGCCUGACGUAGACGCUAUUCCCUAAGAUUAACCCAUGCAUGUUUUUGACAUUUGAAAAAUGGACUGCUCAGUAAUACUCACUUUAUUUUAUGUAAAUUUCUGAUUAAUUAACUACGUUAAAGUGUAGAUAAGAUGUUUACAGUAAGAGUGAGACCUAUCAGCUAGUUGUUAAGGUAAUGGCUUAACAAGGCUGUGACGGGUAACGGUAUUACUUUGUAAUAUUCCGGAGAAGGAGCUUGAGAGACGGCUACUAAGUCUAAGGAUUGCAGCAGGGGCGAAACUUGACCUAUGGAUUUUAUCUGAGGCAGUUAUGGGAAGUAAUAUUAUAUUGUUUCAUAUUUUAAAAGUAUAUGAGGUGAUUAAUUGGAGGGCAAAUCAAGUGCCAGCAGCCGCGGUAAUACUUGUUCCAAGAGUGUGUAUAAUGAUUGAUGCAGUUAAAAAGUCCGUAGUUUAUUUUUUAAGAAGCAAUAUGAGGUGUACUGUAUAGUUGGGAGAAAGAUGAAAUGUGACGACCCUGACUGGACGAACAGAAGCGAAAGCU